rnacentral:rRNA from 1 species
CCUACGGGUGGCAGCAGUGGGGAAUAUUGCACAAUGGGGGAAACCCUGAUGCAGCGACGCCGCGUGAGUGAAGAAGUAUUUCGGUAUGUAAAGCUCUAUCAGCAGGGAAGAAAAUGACGGUACCUCACUAAAAAACCCCCGCUAACUACCGGCCAGCAGCCGCGGUAAUACGUAGGGGGGAAGCGUUAUCCGGAUUUACUGGGUGGAAAGGGAGCGUAGACGGCACCGCAAGUCUGAAGUGAAAUCCGAGGGCUUAACCCCGGAACUGCUUUGGAAACUGUGCGGCUGGAGUGCAGGAGAGGUAAGCGGAAUUCCGAGUGUAGCGGUGAAAUGCGUAGAUAUUGGGAGGAACACCAGUGGCGAAGGCGGCUUACUGGACUGUAACUGACGUUGAGGCUCGAAAGCGUGGGGAGCAAACAGGAUUAGAUACCCGUGUAGUC